AUGGCUGAGCUGGAGAGGACCCCCGGCCUGGUCUCCCAGCGCGGCCUGAGCUGGGGCCCCUCGAGCCCGUCUCCCCCGACUCUCUUCCCCCUGGUGUCCUGCGUGAGCCCCCUGCCUGAUGCGAAGCCGGUGGCCCUGGGCUGCCUGGCCCGGGACUUCUUGCCCAACUCCGCCAGCUUCUCCUGGAGCUACAGUAACAGCAGCGGGGUCAGCAGCCAGAACGUCCAGAUCUUCCCGGCCGUCCUGAGGGAGGGCAAGUACACGGCCUCCUCCCAGGUGCUCCUGCCGCCCUCAAGCAUCCCCCAGGGCCGCGAAGAGCACCUGCUGUGCAGAGUCAAGCACCCCAAUGGCGACCAGUCUGUGCCAGUGCCUAUCCAAGACUCCAGCCCCUUGGUGUCCUCUGUGGCGUCCCAGUCAGAGCGCUUCACCCUAACCUCUCCGAGGAUCCCAGAGUGCCGGAACCACACCCAGCCCCCCAGGGUCUACCUGCUGCGCCCUCCCCUGCAGGGCCUGUGGCUCCAGGAUGAGGCCACCUUCACCUGCCUGGCGGUGGGGGCAAACUGCAGGCGGCCCGCUUGUCCUGGGAGGUGGCCGGGCAGCCCCAGAGCGGGCACACGGAGGAGGCGCCCAGAGAGCACACCAACGGAUCCUGGAGCCAGAGCAGCCGCCUGGCCCUGUCCAGGACCUUGUGGGCCAAGGGGACGCCCGUCACCUGCACGCUGAGUGGCCCCGGCCUGCAGUCCCCGGUGACCCUGGCGGCACAGAGAGAACACGAGGCUUUGGCACCCAGCAAGCCUGCCGUCCACGUCCUGACCGCGCCCAGUCCACCGGCCCCUGCCGGGGCGGCCUCCUGGCUCCUGUGCGAGGUGUCCAACUUCUCACCGCUGGACGUCCUCCUCACCUGGCGGGAGGGGCAGCACGAGGCGGACCCUUCUUGGUCGGCCACGGCGCGCCCCGUGGCCCAGCCUGGGGACUCCUCGUUCCGCACCUGGAGCGUCCUGCGCGUCCCCACCUUCCCGGGCCAUGCGGCUGCCGCCUACACCUGUGUGGUCAGUCACGAGGCCUCCCGGACGCUGCUCGGCGCCAGCUGGAGCCUGGACCCUGGUGGUCUGGCCACGCGGGCCCCCCAGAGCCAGGACGAGAGCGGCGACGACUUCUCGGAGCUGGAGGACACGGGCCGCCUGUGGCUCACCUUCGUGGGCCUCUUCCUUGUCACUCUGCUGUACGGCGGCUUCGUCACCUUUAUCAAGGUGAAGUAG